CAGACGCACACACCAACACAGUCCUGUAAACACUGAGUCACAGGUUCGAGUCCAGCCUGAAACCCUGACACACACACACACACACACACACACACACACACACACACACACACACACUCACUCACUCACUCACUCACAGCUGCCUGCUAAUGAGGGUAACUAUCAGUUUAAGCUAGCAUUGGGGGCGGGGGGGUUAUAACGGGCCAUGUAGAGGGAUGUAUGUGCGUGUGUCAGGCGUGUGAGCAGUGGCGUGGUUAACCCGGAUUGUUGAAGCCGUGUAAACACUCCGACAGCCAGACUCCGGGUUGUUUUCUCCUCCUCACAUCAAAACACACUCAGUGUUUGCUAACGAGCUAGCAGCCUGUUAGCCACCUGCCUGACGGAGGCGGGUGGACACACCGCCGGUGACCGGGGCUGUGAUGUUUGUGACGGACACACCGCUGCCGACCCCCGGCCCGACUUCCCGGGUAGUUGUGUGGACGUCUGAACGGCCCGGCGGCGCACGGAGAGCGGGCUAAGCUCGAGCUGACGUCCGUCCCUGCGCUCCGGCUACAGCAGCAGCUAAAGUACAGACUUAGCAGUGUAGCCAGUGAAUGACCUGUAAAGACAUCAGUGAACUCUGCUCCUUCUAACAGGCUGCAGAAGAUCUUCACCAUCUCUUUGGUCAUGUCCUUACCUGCAGAUUUUUUGGGAAAAUGUGACUACUUUCAUCCAUCAACAGACUGACAAAAAUUUUGUUUUGGACUAUCAAAAUGUAUUGUUCGUUAUUUUAAGCUAAAGCUCAUAUCCAUAACUGCAAAUUCACUAAUCAAAAACUUUGUACUCACCAUCUCAAAAAGGAAAUCAAACAAUAAAUCAACAUAAUUAGUCAGUCUGAAAAUAAGAAAGCCAUAAAGACUCUAGUAUUAUUUUCCUUGUUUUCAUGUUAUUGAAAUGACUUUGAGUUUGCCGAACCUGAAAUGUUUUUAUUUUUGUCCCUAACCCUGCACUCUAUGAUGACAUGUAACUUCAACUUGCUGA